rnacentral:rRNA from 1 species
GAUGAACGCUGGCGGCGUGCCUAAUACAUGCAAGUCGAGCGAACGGACGAGAAGCUUGCUUCUCUGAUGUUAGCGGCGGACGGGUUAGUAACACGUGGAUAACCUACCUAUAAGACUGGGAUAACUUCGGGAAACCGGAGCUAAUACCGGAUAAUAUUUUGAACCGCAUGGUUCAAAAGUUAAAGACGGUCUUGCUGUCACUUAUAGAUGGAUCCGCGCUGCAUUAGCUAGUUGGUAAGGUAACGGCUUACCAAGGCAACGAUGCAUAGCCGACCUGAGAAGGUGAUCGGCCACACUGGGACUGAGACACGGUCCAGACUCCUAAGGGAGGGAGCAGUAGGGAAUCUUCCGCAAUGGGCGAAAGCCUGACGGAGCAAAGCCGCGUGGGUGAUGAAGGUCUUCGGAUCGUAAAACUCUGUUAUUAGGGAAGAACAUAUGUGUAAGUAACUGUGCACGUCUUGACGGUACCUAAUCAGAAAGCCACGGCUAACUACGUG